GUCGAAGGUAGGAUUGAUGACUGGGGUGAAGUCGUAACAAGGUAGCCGUAUCGGAAGGUGCGGCUGGAUCACCUCCUUU
rnacentral:rRNA from 1 species